GGGGAUGUAGCUCAGCGGGAGAGCACCGCGUUCGCAACGCGGGGGUCGAGGGUUCAAAUCCCUUCAUCUCCA
rnacentral:tRNA from 1 species